GUGUCAUUGAAUCGAAAAGAUAUGAUAAAGAUUGAUGGCUGUAUAACAAAAAAUUUUAUUUCAAUUUUAUUAGGAUGUUUAUGGAGUAAUUAUCGGUGGUAUCGCGGGUCAUUCGGUGUGUACAGGGGCUGCAGUUUUAGGUGGGCGAAUGAUAGCUCAAAGGAUAUCAGUAAGAACAGUAACAAUAAUUGGUGGAAUUGUGUUUCUAAUAUUUGCAUUUUCAUCGUUGUUCUUCGACCCGGAAGCCGUGUAACUAAAGAAAAUUCGACUCGAUCCCCAUUUUGAUAACGAUUAGAGAUUUGCGAAUAAGAAAUUAGAGAUUAAUUAAAAUUUAAGCAUUAAAUGUCCGAAUAACGUAAACUAAACAACCAUCGUUUUGAGCAAUUUGUAUUGUGUAAGCUAAUGAGUGUCAUUUUUUCGUUUAUAAAGCUUUUUAUAUCAACUUUAAGUAGUUCAUUUACCGUACUUAAGCUAAAAAAUAAAUAAAUUCCUUAAACGAACAAUAAAAGCUCCAUACUUUUUUUUUCUAAUGUAGUCAGAUUUCAAAUUGUAUUUUUCUACAACUUUUUUUUUUGUUUAUAGACCGCUUUGUAUUAUAGUGCCGAUGUACAACUGUGAUACAUUUAAUAAAUCUUUAUUUUAGAAAUGUAUAA